GCCGCGGAGGCAGCAGCAGCAGCAGCGCUUGGCCAUUAAUCAAAAGCUUUGUCUGGCUGCGACUCCGGCCCCCUUCUCUCCCUCCUCGCCUCCUGCGCCAACUCUCAGGAAAAAGCAAAGGAAGCUCAACCUUGGGAAAAGGGCAGCGUACAGAUGAAUGAGGAAGUACUCCAUCAAAGGAUCCAGUGUCACAAGUGGACAGUGAAGCGGCACCUCCCCAUUGGCCGGAACCAGGCAUACGCUCAUGAAGCCAGAAAAGCUGGAAUGUUAAAUUGUCUCUAUGUCUGUCUAUAUAUGUUGUAUGUCUAAUUGCCAUGUAUAUGUGCAUUGUAAUCCACCCUGUAAAUAAAUAAAUAAA